rnacentral:sRNA from 1 species
CCCGUAGCCAUUUUGGCUCAAGGCGAAAGCAGCUUAAUAUUGUCCUGAUGAGUCGUUAAAAGCAGAAGUCAUUUUGCUUGCAACCCAUAGCGAAGCAAUCAUAAAACAUAUA